UGGGGAAUAUUGGACAAUGGGCGAAAGCCUGAUCCAGCCAUGCCGCGUGUGUGAAGAAGGUCUUCGGAUUGUAAAGCACUUUAAGUUGGGAGGAAGGGCAGUAAGCGAAUACCUUGCUGUUUUGACGUUACCGACAGAAUAAGCACCGGCUAACUCUGUGCCAGCAGCCGCGGUAAUACAGAGGGUGCAAGCGUUAAUCGGAAUUACUGGGCGUAAAGCGCGCGUAGGUGGUUCGUUAAGUUGAAUGUGAAAGCCACGGGCUCAACCUGGGAACUGCAUCCAAAACUGGCGAGCUAGAGUAGGGCAGAGGGUGGUGGAAGUUCCUGUGUAGCGGUGAAAUGCGUAGAUAUAGGAAGGAACACCAAUGGCGAAGGCGACCACCUGGGCUCAUACUGACUCUGAGGUGCGAAAGCGUGGGGAGCAAACAGG
rnacentral:rRNA from 1 species